GAGUUUGAUCCUGGCUCAGGGUGAACGCUGGCGGCGUGCUUGACACAUGCAAGUCGAACGGUAUGUGGCAACACAUAGAGUGGCGAACGGGUGAGUAACACGUGGGAACGUAUCUUUUGCAGGGGGAUAACUGACCGAAAGGACAGCUAAUACCGCAUAAGUCCGAGAGGAGAAAGGUGCAAAAGCAUCGGCAGAAGAGCGGCCCGCGGUCCAUCAGCUAGUUGGUGAGGUAAGGGCUUACCAAGGCGACGACGGAUAGCCGGCGUGAGAGCGUGGCCGGCCACAAGGACACUGAGAUACGGGUCCUACUCCUACGGGAGGCAGCAGUGCGGAAUUUUAGAUAAUGGAGGGAACUCUGAUCUAGCGACGCCGCGUGCAGGAAGAAGGUCUUCGGAUUGUAAACUGCUGUGGUAAGGGAAAAAUGCUAUGUAGAGUGGAAAGCUACAUAGAGGGAUGGUACCUUACUAGAAAGCCCCGGCUAACUACGUGCCAGCAGCCGCGGUAAUACGUAGGGGGCGAGCGUUACCCGGAAUCACUGGGCGUAAAGGGGGCGUAGGUGGCCUAACAUGUCAACUGUGAAAACCCGGAGCUCAACUCCGGACUUGCAGUUGAAACUGGUAGGCUUGAGGACGGUAGAGGAAGACGGAACUGCCAGUGUAGGGGUAAAAUCCUUUGAUAUUGGCAGGAACGCCGGUGACGAAGGUGGUUUUCUGGGCCGGUUCUGACACUGAUGCUCGAAAGCCAGGGGAGCGAACGGGAUUAGAUACCCCAGUAGUCCUGGCCCUAAACGAUGUUCACUAGGUGUGGGGAGCGGAAAGCUCUCCGUGCUAAAGCUAACGCGAUAAGUGAACCGCCUGGGGAGUACGCCCGCAAGGGUGAAACUCAAAGGAAUUGAC
rnacentral:rRNA from 1 species